GAUGAACGCUGGCGGCGUGCCUAACACAUGCAAGUCGAACGGAGUCCAGCCUUUAAGACCUUCGGGUCAAAGAGGGGAAGACUGAGUGGCGGACGGGUGAGUAACACGUGGGCAACCUGGCUCAUAGAGGGGGAUAACAGAGAGAAAUUUCUGCUAAUACCGCAUAAGCACACCCUGCCGCAUGGCAGAGGGUGAAAAGAGAAUCGCUAUGAGAUGGACCCGCGUCUGAUUAGCCAGUUGGCAGGGUAAGAGCCUACCAAAGCGACGAUCAGUAGCCGAUCUGAGAGGAUGAACGGCCACAUUGGGACUGAGACACGGCCCAAACUCCUACGGGAGGCAGCAGUGGGGGAUAUUGCACAAUGGGGGGAACCCUGAUGCAGCGACGCCGCGUGAGUGAAGAAGUAUUUCGGUAUGUAAAGCUCUAUCAGCAGGGAAGAUAAUGACAGUACCUGAAUAAGAAGCCCCGGCUAACUACGUG
rnacentral:rRNA from 1 species